CAGCCAAAUUUGUCAAUGACACCCUGACAGAACGCCGCGGGAGGAUCAUCUCCCAAGGAGCCCGCGAACUGUACGAGUUCGAGAGCUUUCCGAAGGAGAGUUACCGCAAGAACGAUGACGAGAUAGUCUGGUACGCCAUCAAAUUGACGGAAAGAGGUCCGGCAUGCAGACCAUCAACAGCGCGGAUGAAGUCGAUCUGGACCCGAAACGCAACCAUGGCGUCGCGAACGUCUACGACAAC
rnacentral:lncRNA from 1 species